rnacentral:rRNA from 1 species
AGAGUUUGAUCAUGGCUCAGAUUGAACGCUGGCGGCAUGCCUAACACAUGCAAGUCGAACGGCAGCACAGUAGAGCUUGCUCUAUGGGUGGCGAGUGGCGGACGGGUGAGUAAUGCAUCGGGAUCUACCCAAACGUGGGGGAUAACGUAGGGAAACUUACGCUAAUACCGCAUACGUCCUAUGGGAGAAAGCGGGGGAUCGCAAGACCUCGCGCGGUUGGACGAACCGAUGUGCGAUUAGCUAGUUGGUAGGGUAAUGGCCUACCAAGGCGACGAUCGCUAGCUGGUCUGAGAGGAUGAUCAGCCACACUGGAACUGAGACACGGUCCAGACUCCUACGGGAGGCAGCAGUGGGGAAUAUUGGACAAUGGGCGCAAGCCUGAUCCAGCAAUGCCGCGUGUGUGAAGAAGGCCUUCGGGUUGUAAAGCACUUUUAUCAGGAGCGAAAUGCCAUUGGUUAAUACCCGGUGGAGCUGACGGUACCUGAGGAAUAAGCACCGGCUAACUUCGUGCCAGCAGCCGCGGUAAUACGAAGGGUGCAAGCGUUAAUCGGAAUUACUGGGCGUAAAGCGUGCGUAGGCGGUGAGUUAAGUCUGUUGUGAAAUCCCCGGGCUCAACCUGGGAAUGGCAAUGGAUACUGGCUCGCUAGAGUGUGAUAGAGGAUGGUGGAAUUCCCGGUGUAGCGGUGAAAUGCGUAGAGAUCGGGAGGAACAUCAGUGGCGAAGGCGGCCAUCUGGAUCAACACUGACGCUGAGGCACGAAAGCGUGGGGAGCAAACAGGAUUAGAUACCCUAGUAGUCC